UACGUAGGGGGCUAGCGUUGUCCGGAAUCAUUGGGCGUAAAGAGCGUGUAGGCGGCCCGGUAAGUCCGCUGUAAAAGUCAAAGGCUCAACCUUUGAAUGUCAGUGGAUACUGCCGGGCUAGAGUCCGGAAGAGGCGAGUGGAACUCCUGGUGUAGCGGUGGAAUGCGCAGAUAUCAGGAGGAACACCAGUGGCGAAGGCGGUUGCCUGGGGCUUUGCUGACGCUGAUGCGCGAAAGCGUGGGGAGCGAUCCGG
rnacentral:rRNA from 1 species